rnacentral:rRNA from 1 species
AGCAGCCGCGGUAAUUCCAGCUCCAAUAGCGUAUAUUAAAGUUGUUGCAGUUAAAAAGCUCGUAGUUGAAUUUCGGGAUCAGUUGAUCGGUCGUGCCUCGGUACGUACUGGUCAAAUUGAUUCCUACCUUCUGACGAACCACGAUGUCAUUAAUUUGGUGUCGUGGGAAAUCAGGACUGUUACUUUGAAAAAAUUAGAGUGUUUAAAGCAGGCUCGCGCUUGAAUACAUUAGCAUGGAAUAAUGAAAUAGGACGUUUGAUUCUAUUUUGUUGGUUUCUAGGAUCGACGUAAUGAUUAAUAGGGAUAGUUGGGGGCAUUAGUAUUCAAUUGUCAGAGGUGAAAUUCUUGGAUUUAUUGAAGACUAACUACUGCGAAAGCAUUUGCCAAGGAUGUUUUCAUUAAUCAAGAACGAAAGUUAGGGGAUCGAAGACGAUCAGAUACCGUCGUAGUCUUAACCAUAAACUAUGCCGACUAGGGAUCGGAUGAUGUUAAUUUUUUAAUGUACUCAUUCGGC